rnacentral:lncRNA from 13 species
AUGAUAGAGAGGGAUGAGUUGGAAUCCAUGAAGUCUGAAAUAGGAAAACAAAGACAGGAAAUAGAGGAGAACAAUCAAAAGAUACAGGAUGAGAAGGCGGAGAUUGAAAAGAUCAAGAAUGAUUUACAGAAACGGUCAGAUAAUCUAGACAACCUCGUGGAAGAGACAAAGAGGGAAAAGGAGAAUGUUAAGGACAGGGCUGCUCAAAUCCAGAAGGGUCAGGAGGGAAUUGAACGUGUUAUUGAGGAUAUCAAGACAAAGAGCCCUGAACUGGAAAUGUUGAAAGCUGAGAUAAAGACAGAGAAACAAGAAACAUUCAACCUGAAGGACAUGACAUCAAAGGAGAAACGUAACUUGGAACAAAUUAAAGUGAAGAUGGAGAAAGAAAUACAAGAACUGGAGAACACCAAGGAAACGACAGAAAUUGAUAUUAGUCGGCUGGAACAAAGAAGAGUUGAGUUAGAAGGAGAAGAAGAUGGAGUGAAAAAUCGGAUGGCUUCACUGACAGAGGAAGAGCAGAGUAUGAAAGAGAAUAUUGGGAAGAUGAAAGAAAAUUUAGAGCAGAUUAAUGCUGAAAUACAAGUACAGAGAGAUGACAUUGCAACACAAAUGGAAGAGUUAAAUGUCAAGAAAGAAGAGCUGGAAAACAUUCAAAUGGACAUCGACAGACAAAUAGAACAGAUGGGCAAAACACAAAAUGCUAUAAUCAUGGAAAAGAAUGAACUGGAAGAGAAGCUUGCUGGCGUGCAAAAACAAACAGAGGAGGUGGAAGCCAUCAUUGAAAUGACAAAGAGGGAGAGGGAGGAUGUGGCGAGGAUAAAGGCUGAAACAGAGGAACAGAAAGAUCAAAUGGAAGACAACCUGAUGGAAACUCUGAAACACAACAGAGAAGAACUUGAACGCCUAAAAGAAACAGAAAGAAAGGAGGAAACUAAGGACAUUAAAAAGAAGACAGGGAGGGAGACGGAGGGGUUAGAACGGGUUAACAUAGAGUCCCAGAGAGCGCUGGAAGAUCUGGAGAACGUUGUGGAGGAAACCAUGGAGAACGAGGGUGCAGAGGAAAUGGCUAUCCAAAUACAAAAGCAAAUGGAGGACAAUGUGAGAAUCAUUGAGGAGAUGGAGCAAGAGAAGGCAUAUUUAGAGCUGAUGAACAUUAAGAUGCAAAGUGAGAGAGAAGAAAUAGACUCUAACAAGGCCAUGAUUGAAAGGGAGAAGGAUGACCUGCAACAAAUGAAGUCUAUGAUUACGCGGCAGAGAUGCGAAAUUGAACAAAUUACCGCCGUCUUAAGGGACGAGAGGGACACUCUUGAGCAAUUUAAGACUGAUAUGGAAAGACAGCGACAGGAGAUGAUGAACAAUAUGGACUUGGUGGAAAGAGAGAGAGAUGAACUGGGAAAGACGAGGUCGGAGAUGGAUGAGUUGGAACACAUGGCAGCUGAAAUAGAAAGACAGAAGGAGAAGAUUGACAAAAGAAAGGGUGCAGCAAUGAUGGAGGCGCCUCUGCUGGAGGAAAGAGAAGACAGCGUUCAGAAACAGAGUGAUGAAGUUGUCUUCAUCUCAGACACAACACAGACAGAAAAAAUAAAGGAUGAACCCGAACAAAGCACGGUUGAGACACUUCAGACACAGGACGAAACGAUGGACUCAGUCAAGAAGGACAGAGAUGAUCUAGAACAAAUGAGAGCAACAGAUGAAAGGCUCCCAAAGAGAGAUCAUUUGGAGAAAAUCCGUCAGGAGGCUCAGGCAGAAAAGGAGGAGAUUGAGAAGAUUAAGCACAGAGUUCAUGAGAUGAAAGAACAUCUAGAGGGAAGACUAGCAGUGAUUCAGAGACAUGAGUUGGUACAGAGAACAAGGAUACAAAGAGAGAAAGAAGAGCUAAAGAAGAUGAAGGAAGAGUUGGAGAGAGACAGCCAAGCUCGGCAAACAGAGUGGGACAGAGGUAGGAGGAAACUUCAGGAGAAGGACCAGGAGCUUGAGAUGCUAAAAGUGGAGAUGUUCCGAGAGAUCGAGAGACUGCAGGUUCAUAUGGAAAAAGAGAUGGAAACACUGGAGACAAGUGACAAAGGUGUCCAAACCUCAGACGUGGUAUUAACCAUAGAAGAAGAGAGAAUGUGGUUGAUGGAGGACUCAACGACAGAGGAGUACAGUAUGCUGGCAGAAAUAAGUCAAGAAACAGAGCAAACCACAGUGGAUAUGACAUUCGCCAGUUCAUCACUGGAGCUCCAGGGUCAAUCAGAGGAGCACACAGUGAUAGAGGAUGCUCAGAUGAGCGUAGUAAGAGCAGAGGCUUCUCCAUUCAGCAGGUUGCUACGGUGGCUUUGGCGCUACUGCUGUGGCUGCUGCCGCUGUUGUGACUGCUGCGGAAGGGAGUGUGAAGAAGAAGAGGAGGAGAACAUAGUAUAG